AAAGGAGGACUUCCUGAGGGCAGACAGGACUGGGAGGUCCACCCCACAAUGGUAGCAGAUUUCACGUGGUUCUCAGCACCCCCUGGGGUCUUGGGCGGGUAGCAGGGCCCUUGGAGACUCAAGAGGUUCCUCCCCAGGGCAGCCCGACUCAGAAAGACCGUCUGAGAUCUUUUCCCGAUUCCGCCAGGCUUGUUGCAGCUUUUCUGGGCUGCAGGGGGUCCUGCCUGGAGCUGGCAGUCCUAUGCAGCUGGUCCACUAGGUCUCAGCACCCCUUGGGGUCUUGGGCGGGUAGCAGGGCCUUUGGAGACUCAAGAGGCUCCUCCCCAGAACAGCCCGACUCAGAAAGACCGUCUGAGAUCUUUUCCCAAGUCGGCCAGGCUUGUUGCAGCUUUUCUGGGCUGCAGGGGGUCCUGCCUGGAGCUGGCAGUCCUAUGCAGCUGGUCCACUAGGUCUCAGCACCCCCUGGGGUCUUGGGCGGGUAGCAGGGCCCUUGGAGGCUCAAGAGGCUCCUCCCCAGGACAGCCCGACUCCGAAAGACCGUCUGAGAUCUUUUCCCAAGUCGGCCAGGCUUGUUGCAGCUUUUCUGGGCUGCAGGGGGUCCUGCCUGGAGCUGGCAGUCCUAUGCAGCUGGUCCACUAGGUCUCAGCACCCCCUGGGGUCUUGGGCGGGUAGCAGGGCCCUUGGAGGCUCAAGAGGCUCCUCCCCAGGACAGCCCGACUCAGAAAGACCGUCUGAGAUCUUUUCCCGAUUCGGCCAGGCUUGUUGCAGCUUUUCUGGGCUGCAGGGGGUCCUGCCUGGAGCUGGCAGUCCUAUGCAGCUGGUCCACUAGGUCUCAGCACCCCUUGGGGUCUUGGGCGGGUAGCAGGGCCCUUGGAGACUCAAGAGGCUCCUCCCCAGGACAGCCCGACUCCGAAAGACCGUCUGAGAUCUUUUCCCGAUUCGGCCAGGCUUGUUGCAGCUUUUCUGGGCUGCAGGGGGUCCUGCCUGGAGCUGGCAGUCCUAUGCAGCUGGUCCACUAGGUCUCAGCACCCCUUGGGGUCUUGGGCGGGUAGCAGGGCCCUUGGAGACUCAAGAGGCUCCUCCCCAGGACAGCCCGACUCCGAAAGACCGUCGGAGAUCUUUUCCCAAUUCGGCCAGGCUUGUUGCAGCUUUUCUGGGCUGCAGGGGGCAGGACCCCCUGCAGCCCAGAAAAGCUGCAACAAGCCUGGCCGAAUCGGGAAAAGAUCUCAGACGGUCUUUCUGAGUCGGGCUGUCCUGGGGAGGAGCCUCUUGAGCCUCCAAGGGCCCUGCUACCCGCCCAAGACCCCAGGGGGUGCUGAGACCUAGUGGACCAGCUGCAUAGGACUGCCAGCUCCAGGCAGGACCCCCUGCAGCCCAGAAAAGCUGCAACAAGCCUGGCCGAAUCGGGAAAAGAUCUCAGACGGUCUUUCUGAGUCGGGCUGUCCUGGGGAGGAGCCUCUUGAGCCUCCAAGGGCCCUGCUACCCGCCCAAGACCCCAGGGGGUGCUGAGACCUAGUGGACCAGCUGCAUAGGACUGCCAGCUCCAGGCAGGACCCCCUGCAGCCCAGAAAAGCUGCAACAAGCCUGGCCGAAUCGGGAAAAGAUCUCAGACGGUCUUUCUGAGUCGGGCUGUCCUGGGGAGGAGCCUCUUGAGCCUCCAAGGGCCCUGCUACCCGCCCAAGACCCCAGGGGGUGCUGAGACCUAGUGGACCAGCUGCAUAGGACUGCCAGCUCCAGGCAGGACCCCCUGCAGCCCAGAAAAGCUGCAACAAGCCUGGCCGACUUGGGAAAAGAUCCCAGACGGUCUUUCUGAGUCGGGCUGUCCUGGGGAGGAGCCUCUUGAGUCUCCAAGGGCCCUGCUACCCGCCCAAGACCCCAGGGGGUGCUGAGACCUAGUGGACCAGCUGCAUAGGACUGCCAGCUCCAGGCAGGACCCCCUGCAGCCCAGAAAAGCUGCAACAAGCCUGGCCGACUUGGGAAAAGAUCUCAGACGGUCUUUCUGAGUCGGGCUGUUCUGGGGAGGAGCCUCUUGAGUCUCCAAAGGCCCUGCUACCCGCCCAAGACCCCAAGGGGUGCUGAGACCUAGUGGACCAGCUGCAUAGGACUGCCAGCUCCAGGCAGGACCCCCUGCAGCCCAGAAAAGCUGCAACAAGCCUGGCGGAAUCGGGAAAAGAUCUCAGACGGUCUUUCUGAGUCGGGCUGCCCUGGGGAGGAACCUCUUGAGUCUCCAAGGGCCCUGCUACCCGCCCAAGACCCCAGGGGGUGCUGAGAACCAAGUGAAAUCUGCUACCAUCGUGGGGUGGACCUCCCAGUCCUGUCUGCCCUCAGGAAGUCCUCCUUUGCUUCAAAGAAACACUGUUAGUCCCAUCAACACUCCAGAAAAGCCACACUGCCUCAAAAAAAGAUUGACCAACAACGACAGCCCUCAGGAAAUAUUCCAGGGCAGUGACAAGGCAAACACUACCCGAUAACGGAGAGUACAACUCCCUCAGGAGAAAGAAGACAACAAGCAAGAUGAAGAAGCUGAGAAACCACCCCCAGUCAAACCAACAGGAGAACUCACCUAAAACAGUCAACAAUGAAAC
rnacentral:lncRNA from 9 species